rnacentral:rRNA from 1 species
GCGGUGGAGCAUGUGGUUUAAUUCGAAGCAACGCGAAGAACCUUACCAGGCCUUGACAUGCAGAGAACUUCAGAGAUGGAUUGGUGCCUUCGGGAACUCUGACACAGGUGCUGCAUGGCUGUCGGUCAGCUCGUGUCGUGAGAUGUUGGGUUAAGUCCCGUAACGAGCGCAACCCUUGUCCUUAGUUACCAGCACGUUAUGGUGGGCACUCUAAGGAGACUGCCGGUGACAAACCGGAGGAAGGUGGGGAUGACGUCAAGUCAUCAUGGCCCUUACGGCCUGGGCUACACACGUGCUACAAUGGUCGGUACAAAGGGUUGCCAAGCCGCGAGGUGGAGCUAAUCCCAUAAAACCGAUCGUAGUCCGGAUCGCAGUCUGCAACUCGACUGCGUGAAGUCGGAAUCGCUAGUAAUCGUGAAUCAGAAUGUCACGGUGAAUACGUUCCCGGGCCUU